rnacentral:rRNA from 1 species
AACGAACGCUGGCGGCAUGCCUAACACAUGCAAGUCGAACGAGACCUUCGGGUCUAGUGGCGCACGGGUGCGUAACGCGUGGGAACCUGCCCUUAGGUUCGGAAUAACUCCCCGAAAGGGGUGCUAAUACCGGAUAAUGUCUUCGGACCAAAGAUUUAUCGCCUUUGGAUGGGCCCGCGUUGGAUUAGCUAGUUGGUAGGGUAAAAGCCUACCAAGGCGACGAUCCAUAGCUGGUCUGAGAGGAGGAUCAGCCACACUGGGACUGAGACACGGCCCAGACUCCUACGGGAGGCAGCAGUGGGGAAUAUUGGACAAUGGGCGAAAGCCUGAUCCAGCAAUGCCGCGUGAGUGAUGAAGGCCUUAGGGUUGUAAAGCUCUUUUACCCGGGAUGAUAAUGACAGUACCGGGAGAAUAAGCGCCGGCUAACUCCGUG